rnacentral:rRNA from 1 species
AACGAACGCUGGCGGCAUGCCUAACACAUGCAAGUCGAACGAGACCUUCGGGUUUAGUGGCGCACGGGUGCGUAACGCGUGGGAACCUGCCCUUAGGUUCGGAACAACUCCCCGAAAGGGGUGCUAAUACCGGAUAAUGUCUUCGGACCAAGGAUUUAUCGCCGUUGGUUGGGCCCGCGUUGGAUUAGCUAGUUGGUAGGGUAAAAGCCUACCAAGGCGACGAUCCAUAGCUGGUCUGAGAGGAUGAUCAGCCACACUGGGACUGAGACACGGCCCAGACUCCUACGGGAGGCAGCAGUGGGGAAUAUUGGACAAUGGGCGAAAGCCUGAUCCAGCAAUGCCGCGUGAGUGAUGAAGGCCUUAGGGUUGUAAAGCUCUUUUACCCGGGAUGAUAAUGACAGUACCGGGAGAAUAAGCUCCGGCUAACUCCGUG